GACGAACGCUGGCGGCGUGCUUAACACAUGCAAGUCGAACGGUGAAGCGCCUUCCUUUUUGGUGGGUGAGGAUGAGUGGCGAACGGGUGAGUAACACGUGAGUAACCUGCCCCCUUCUUCUAGAUAACCGCAUGAAAGUGUGGCUAAUACGGGAUAUUCUGGGUCUGUCGCAUGAUGGGUCUGGGAAAGUUAUUGUUUCGGUGGGGGAUGGGCUCGCGGCCUAUCAGCUUGUUGGUGGGGUGAUGGCCUACCAAGGCGGUGACGGGUAGCCGGGCUGAGAGGGUGGACGGUCACACUGGGACUGAGACACGGCCCAGACUCCUACGGGCGGCAGCAGUGGGGACUAUUGCACAAUGGGCGCAAGACUGAUGCAGCGACGCCGCGUGAGGGAUGGAGGCCUUCGGGUUGUGAACCUCUUUCGCCAGUGAAGCAGGCCUGCCUCGUUUGUGGGUGGGUUGACGGUAGCUGGAUAAGAAGCGCCGGCUAACUACGUG
rnacentral:rRNA from 1 species